AUCAUCAGUCAUACCACUUGCAGUUCAGACCCUGUAAUCUUUCUGAAGCUAAGCAGGUUUGGGCUUGGCAAAUACUUGGAUAGGAGAUCAAUUAGGAAAGCUGAGUUGCUGCUAGAA
rnacentral:rRNA from 1 species